rnacentral:rRNA from 1 species
AUUGAACGCUGGCGGCAGGCCUAACACAUGCAAGUCGAGCGGAUGAAGGGAGCUUGCUCCUGGAUUCAGCGGCGGACGGGUGAGUAAUGCCUAGGAAUCUGCCUGGUAGUGGGGGAUAACGUCCGGAAACGGGCGCUAAUACCGCAUACGUCCUGAGGGAGAAAGUGGGGGAUCUUCGGCCCUCACGCAAUAGGAUGAGCCUAGGUCGGAUUAGCUAGUUGGUGGGGUAAAGGCCUACAAAGGCGACGAUCCGUAACUGGUCUGAGAGGAUGAUCAGUCACACUGGAACUGAGACACGGUCCAGACUCCUACGGGAGGCAGCAGUGGGGAAUAUUGGACAAUGGGCGAAAGCCUGAUCCAGCCAUGCCGCGUGUGUGAAGAAGGUCUUCGGAUUGUAAAGCACUUUAAGUUGGGAGGAAGGGCAGUAAGUUAAUACCUUGCUGUUUUGACGUUACCAACAGAAUAAGCACCGGCUAACUUCGUG